CUCCAUCUCACCUGUCUAUACUCAGUGACGUUUAACAGUUGGCUCUCCAAGGAGAAAAGCCUGAUAGGUAGUACUUGCCAAUUACCAUGGUGUAAAUCCUUCUACCAAGACUGAUUUUAAUUUACCCACUCUGAGCUGGGAAGAGAUGUACAGUAGUGCAUUAUUAUAUAGUAUUUCCCUCAUACAGAUAUAAUAGGUGUAAAUAAUCUCAUGACCAUAAACAAUAGUAAAAUACAGUAAAAUAAUUAGAAAGUGAUGAGUUUUAAAUAUUUACUAUCACUUUAAAAAUAUAAUUUUAAGUUUAUAUAAUUUAAUUAUUAAAAUAGUGGCUGUAGUUAACAAUCAGCUCCAAAAUUUACUGAAAAUGUUACAACCAACUCUCUUGAGCCAGUCCAUGCCUGCCCUGGCAUACCACUGUAUGUGUGUUUGUAUCUUUGAAAAUAGCACUUUAGCAUCCACCGUCGGGUGGGUCCUACUACCAAGCUACUGAAAUUGUCUCAUGGCAGUGUUACUUACCAGUGCCUGCUGUGGGCCUUUUGCUAUGACUGGUCUAACAGCUACAUGAAAUAUGUUGGUUUUAUGGACUUUAUAAUCUAGGCAGUGAAGGGGAACAUACUUAUUCAUCUGUCCCACCCAUUAGUCCAUCUGUCUAUUUGUGCAUCCCCCACCAUUUAAUCAUUCAUCUCUUUUUUUCCACCCACUCAUCCACGCUUCCAUCCAUCUGAACAUUCACCAGUCUGUUUACCCAGAUCUUCCUCCCUCCCUUCCUCCAUCCAUUUUUACUUUCUUCCCUUCAUCCAUCUACCCACCCACCAGUAAAUCAAUGAGUGCUUGUUUAUCACGCUCCUGUAGUGAGUCAGGUGUUGUGCUUGUGUUUUAAAUAUGUAUAAAACUUGUUCUCUACUCUAUAGAAGCUCCUGAUUGAGAGAGAUGUGAGUAGUUACAACAGCCAGGAUAAAGGCAGAUGCAAAGUGCUUUCAGAGGUGAGAAGAAAAAAUGAGUAAUUCUGUUAGGAGUAGGCAAGCAGGUUGGGAAUGGCUUUACGGGGACUGACAUUUACUUUGCUUUUCAGAUUUCAAGUGGGCAUUUCCUAGGUGGUGGGGGAAGGGCACCCUAGGCAGAGAGGGCAGCGUGUGAAAAGGCACAGAGGCUGGGGAGCCUGUCCCACAGGGUUGUUUUAAUUGCCUUCUCUGAACUCCCAGUUCACACAGAAGCCUGGCAGGCAGGGUUGGCUUCUAGGAGAAGGGGGAGUUCUGCUAAGUGGAGGGGACCAGGGAGGCACAUGGGACCAGAGAACCUGCCCAUAGGGACUGAGGGUUAGAGUAGCAUGGAACUGUGGUGUGAGGGAUGCCACCAGCUGAUGCACUUGAAGGCAUUUUUUAGGGACAUGGAGAUGACGGAAAUAAUGAAAGGAAACUAACAGUAAAGGCACCACCUAUGUGCUAAGCACUUUACAAACACUGAGUCCCCACAAUAGACACAUUAGUCUUUACAACAGAUAAUAGAGUAUUAUCCCAUUUUACAAAUGUGGAAACUGAGGCUUAGAGAGUGGUGGAUUGCCCAAAGCCACAAAGCCUCAGUGUAGUCUGUGUCUAAACAUGUGCAGAGUUCUGCGGAUCUAAUCUCUCAUUCUAUCCCCUCAACAAUCCUGAGAUGUUAAGCAACCUGUCAGACGUCAAUCAAGACUCCAAGGUCUUGGCUGGGCAUGAUAAGGCCAGACGUCCUAGGGAGCCUGUGCCUAGAAGGUGGAGCUGAGGUGUUUGGCUGGAUGAGGACAGCUGACAGUCCCUCUGUCUGCAGUCUGCAGGUGAGGGGAGCUAUGGAAGUUUGAACAACUGGAUGGAGGCUACGACUUAAAAGGCAUAGUUUCAAAACCUCUGGAGGUGCUGUGUACACCCACCUGUGGCUUGUUCAUGUUCCCAUCAGACAAUGUCACCAUUGUGUGGCUGUGGUGCCAUUCACAGGCAUGACCCAGUGUCUGCUGCUGCAUGGGGUCCCAGAUCAGCCUUGCACACCACAGACUGGAAGAACUGGGGGACUUUGCCCCUGAGUGUUUCCCUACUUGGAUACAGUCCUGCAAUGGUAACUCAUGUUAUAUUGGCAUUUUUGUUUUUGCUACAGUGAGAUUGUUGUGAAACUAUGUUUGCUUUGUGCUUUGGUGACAUGGGAAAGUGUCAGCUCCCCUCUUGGGUCUGUUAGUCCUGAGUGACAAGUGGCCAGCCCUGUUCCCAGGGUCAGGGGAAACACUGUGAUGGGUAUUAUGCAAUAUGCCUUUCCCUCUCUCUCUGCUUUUUCCGCACUGCUGUAGCACUUGACCUUCUGUGGUAGUGGUUUCUGUGUGGGCCCCUCAGUAACAGUGUGGCAUCAUUAGGAGCCAGUUAUUGCUUUCAAACCCCGCGU
rnacentral:lncRNA from 1 species